CCUACGGGUGGCAGCAGUAGGGAAUUUUGCGCAAUGGGCGCGAGCCUGAACCAGCCAAGUAGCGUGAAGGAUGACUGCCCUACGGGUUGUAAACUUCUUUUAUAAAGGAAUAAAGUGAGGCACGUGUGCCUUUUUGUAUGUACUUUAUGAAUAAGGAUCGGCUAACUCCGUGCCAGCAGCCGCGGUAAUACGGAGGAUCCGAGCGUUAUCCGGAUUUAUUGGGUUUAAAGGGAGCGUAGAUGGGUUGUUAAGUCAGUUGUGAAAGGUUGCGGCUCAACCGUAAAAUUGCAAUUGAUACUGGCAGCCUUGAGUACAGUGGAGGUAGGCGGAAUGCGUGGUGUAGCGGUGAAAUGCUUAGAUAUCACGAAGAACUCCGAUUGCGAAGGCAGCCUACCAAACUGCCACUGACAUUGAUGCACGAAAGUGUGGGUAUCAAACAGGAUUAGAUACCCUUGUAGUC
rnacentral:rRNA from 1 species